AUGUUGUGUCAUUCUGAUGUUUUUUUCAUAAUUCUUGGUGUUGAAUACCAGAGCUUUGUGUGCUUAGUUAAUUAUAAAACCUUUUAUAAAACCUUUUAUUGGAAUAAAACUUCUACGGUGAAAGUAAAGCAAGUUACAUGCUCUGGUGCGUGCUAUAACUAUCUGAACAUCAGUUUGUAGUUUAGAAAGCAAUAGAGAUCUAGGUACUCAUAUUCUUGGAAUGAUUGUUUCAACAGUGGUAAGAGGUAAUGGCAAAUGACUUUUUUACAGAAAAUGUCCAAGGCUUUCUCAAGCUGUUACUUUAUAAAUUUAAAAUCACAGUAAGAUUUGCUUUCAGACUUCAUUUAAUUUUCAUAAAAGCUUUGGUGUUCUUGCAUGGUGAUUGUAAAGGUGAUACCUUUCAUUCAAAGGGAAGGCUUGGUUGAUAUAUAUAUAUAUACACUUCUUGGGCUUUUUGUAGUGGGGCCUCACAUCAGCAGGGUAACAGUAAAGGCUCUGUAACAUACACACAGAAAGAAAACAGCUGCAGAAUUAUAGAGCAUUUUGAGGAAAACUUUCAAGUGGAAUCUUCAUUUGGGCUUAAUGGAAAUGCAUAAGGGACACAGAGUUCCAAACUUAAUUACUUGAGGAAAUUUUGAUCAGAAGUGUAAAAAAAAAAAAACAAAAAAAAAAAAACAAAAACAAAAAAAAAACAAAAAAACAAAAAAAAAAACACAAAAAAACAAAACAAAACAAAAAAAAAAAAAAACAAAAAAACAAACAAAAAAAAAAACAAAAAAAACAAAUCUCUGCUCUUUUGAAGAAAUCUGGGUGUGUUUGUCUUGGGAUAACCUAGUAGUUAGGGCAUCUUUGAGUCUGUGUCUACAGUUGUAACACCAUUUUUAGUGAUUUAGAUCUACACAUACAGUUUUGGCACGUAGCUCAUCUUGUAUAAUGUGCUUUUUUUUUCAUUUUGGAAUGUAUACUUGAUCUGUUUGUCUCACUCAUGGGUUUGCUCUGACUUUUCGGACAUUUUUAACAUAUAAGCAUUUCCUUUCAUGACAGUCCAUUUGAGGGGAGGUAUGAUACUGCUUGUCUGCAUUUUGUAUGAUAGAGGUCUGCAGAGGUAUAAGGUUUCUAUGGUCAUACUUUUAUCACACAGUCUCGAAAUGGAGUACCUAGUGUCUUUGCAUACUCCCAUGUGAACAUGGUAGUGUCUUACUUAAUAUGAAGGAUUAAUGCCUGAUACACAGGCAUCCUGUGUUGCUUCUUACCAUUGGUAAUUUUAGAGGGGGUUAGAGGGCAUAUGUUCUUAUAGAAACAGGGAAUAGCUCAUGUUUUCCUUUUUAAGGGCUAAGCCCACCUCCAGAAGGGUAUCGGUCUUUUUGCAACUCCUGACCUAAUGCUUUAUGUAAUAAAAUUCUUGUCCCUUUUCUCGUUCAUGCUUUAUACACCCCACCCCCCCCACCCCCCCUAUGUAAAUCUGAUAUUGUUGGGUUGGAUUUUGUUCUGUAUAUGGUAAUUGAGUUUAAAAUGCUAUGAAAGAGAGACAAUAUCUUGGUAAAGUCGUAUGUUGAAAAAAACCUUUUUAUUUUCUUAAUAUAGAUAGAUUUAAGGAUAAAGGGGUUGGCAUUUUUCUUUGAGCUAUGUUGUGUAAACUUGCAUACUUUGAAGUUACCUCUUUAAAAUGCAUCUCAAAGUUACCUUCUAACUAUACAGACUACAAAAACGUAAAUUUCUAUCUGCUGAUGGUUAUCCUCUUUAGAAACUAAAGACCUCCUAAAGUUUGGCAGGGCACCAGGAACACACAAAUAUAUAUACUAUUUUUAGCUGAAUCUCCAUGCUGUAACUUUGCUGGAAAAUUAGCAUGUGACUAAGGGCUGUGUUUUCCUUCAACCAGCCUGAAAGUCCCCAAACUUUUAUAGAAGAAAGUAACUAUAUGAAAUAGCAACUUCAUGUGAAACUGUGCUUUUCUGCAAAUUUUCAGAUAAUGUGAACUGGCUUUUCUAAAUUUAGACUUUCAAGUGAAAUAGCUAAAUAGAAAUAGCUAAACCAUAAUGUGUUCUGGAAAACAGGAGAGCUAGAUAGAUGAUUUAAAAAAAAAAAAAGUGCAGAUUUGGCUGGCAUGAUUUACAAAUGGAAACUUGUUGCCUCUUUGCAAAUAUUUUUGAGUUGGAAUUCUAUCUAUAGUGAUCUUAAAUUCUCAGGAUGCUUUCAUUUCACAAUAGCAUCUAGGGUGUUUUUUGGUUUUUUGUUUUUUUCAAACUUUGUUAGUAGAUGAUAAACUUGCCAGUCUGAUUGGCAAUUCAGAAAUACUCCUCAAUUAAACUUUUUUUUUCUUCCUCUUUCAGUAUGCUAAUGUAACUUGGGGAAAAAAAAAAAAAAAUCUGGUUUAACAAGGUCUUCGAAGAUAAGAAACAACCCUGUUCCAAACCUGAUGGUAUUAAAUGUGUCACGUUUUUACAGUAUCUGCAAUUAUAAAUCACUGUCUCAAAACAUUGUGUUGCUUGUAUUUAGUACAGGCACUGUAAUUAACAGGUUCUCCAGCUUUAGUUGAUUCUUAAUCUCCUUCAAUUAAUAGUAAAACCAGAAAAUCACAGAUCCAAACUAGCUAUGAAUUAUUUUAAGAAAGUGUUUUUUUAGUGUCAGCAAAGGAUGUUAGUUUGUCAGAUCACUUUGUAUGGUGUGCUGAUUUCCAAACACAGCAACUUGUAGGUACAAUACUGUUUCGAAAUAAAAGUAAAAGCAGAAGUAUUAAUGUUUUACAUGUAUUUGUACAUGUAACUGCAGUUGAGGGUGACUUAUUUUACAUCCACCGGAGAAAAUGUGCGAUUUUAUGUCUCUGUGACAGGUGAAGGCCUAUCUGCUGGAGGAAUUGUAGCUUGACCAAACUGUUGCUAAUGUGUGAUAAGCACUGCAAAGUGUGUACUUGAGUGUUUCUUGGGGGAAAAAAAAAAAGCCUGGGUGAUGUAAAAAUUUGUCUCAAGUCUAGGAAGAUAUUUCCUAGAACAUGACAGUAGGUGAAAAAUUUAAGGAACUUCGUAUGGUUAAGCUGUGAGGACUUAUAUUACGACUGCAAUGUUGUAAAGGUACAGAACAUAUGCAUUAUGGUAAUACAGCCAGGUAAAUGAGGUUCUGUAUUCUUUUUCCUGCUUGUGUGGUUUCAUUGACAACACUUCUCUUGUUUUUUACCUUUAAAUGCUAGUGGGUUUACACUUUUAAGUCAGCUGCAUGUUUGGCAGCCAAAUGGAAGAUGAUAGGGGAGAAUAAAACUUUGUCACAUGUG